rnacentral:lncRNA from 1 species
UUUUUUGAUCAAGAAAAUGCAUAAAUAAACGAAGGUACCAGAGGUACCAAACAAAAGGUCUUACAACAAUUUGGCCAACAGCUCGUUAGAGCUCCAAUCUUUAAAACUAAAAUCAUUUCUCGAGAACAUAAACACUUUGUUCCAACUCCAAGUUCUAGCUUGAAUUUCCAAGAUAAGACCAUCAAUAGACCACUGUUUACCUUCAAAACGAGUUUCAUUUCUCCGCUUCCAAAUAAGCCAACUGGUGCAAAUCCACAGCGCCUUGAGAAAAU